rnacentral:ncRNA from 1 species
AUUAUCUGAGGACAGAACGGGCAUCUGUCGCCCUUUGUUGGAGAUGUAGGAAUGUCACCUACCUAUAAU